AAUGGGCAUGGAAGCUUUGUGUCUCGUGCAUUGCAUUUAGGCGUUUAAGCAAGAAAGAGAUAAGGCGUUCAUUUUUCCAUCUGCGCUAACCUACUUUUGCACAUGGUCGAGUAGGAAGCGAAGGAACAAAACUAUCCAUGCUACUCAUUUUUGCUUGUACACAGACUGUACUGUGUUUGCAUAAAUUACAAGGGGAAGGAGCUUCAAGGAACCUAAUUAGUGCACAACAGUGAUUUGGAGCAUGAGGAUGUCUUCUUCUGGAUACUUAUCAAAAUUUGUUUCUGUUGCUUUGACAAGACAAGAGCAAUCAAGAUUCUGGAUAUGAAGUCCAGUGUCUGCUUCCAAUAUGGCAUGUCAUUACACAGAUUGUGUUAUAUGCUUGUGAAAUGGAUUGUCUUUCAAUAAGGUACAAGCUUUGUGAUUAUUUUCCAUGUGCUCCUUUGUG